GGAGGGGAGGGUGACCUGCCUCCCACACCACCCCCUCCAUCACCAGGGUUGGUUUGGCUGAUCUGGCUGGCCCGGGGCCUUCCCAUUCCUCCCUCAGCAGCCACGUGUGUUCCUCCAAAACUGCACAUUUGGUAGAAGAGGACCUCCUACCCCCAUAGAAUGUCAUUAUCAUUCAAUUAAGUGUAUAGGAGUAGCCGAGAUCUCCUGCCAAAAUGUCCAAGCACCUUCUCAAACUUGUAACAGUGGGAGUUCUAGUUUCUCUUUGUCAGCAAUUGAUAGCCUCAAAAUUCUUAAUUUUAGGCUUUUGUU
ensembl:misc_RNA 7SK 7SK RNA